UCCGUAGGGUGCAACCGUUGCUCGGAAUCAUUGGGCGUAAAGCGCACGUAGGCGGUCCAGCAAGUCGGGUGUGAAAGCCCUCGGCUUAACCGAGGAAGUGCAUUCGAAACUACUGGACUUGAAUACUGGAGAGGAUCGCGGAAUUCCCGGUGUAGAGGUGAAAUUCGUAGAUAUCGGGAGGAACACCAGUGGCGAAGGCGGCGAUCUGGACAGAUAUUGACGCUGAGGUGCGAAAGCGUGGGGAGCAAACAGG
rnacentral:rRNA from 1 species